UUCCAGCCUGAAAAAAAAACCAAAAAAACACAGAAAAUGCAUAAUGAAAUUAAAUGCUUCUGAAAGUACAUAAAACCCAGAGCAGCUUAAAUUUUUAGAUAAACUUUAUAUAGCAGCGUAAUAGGAUGAAAUAUGGCAGCAUGGCUUUACCUUUUUAACACAGGUGCCAGCAGAAAACAUGGGAUAAAGUGCAGCUAUUCCACAUAUGACAAACGCAGCAGAAGACCAGUACAAAUGUCAGUCUUUACAGAAUCCAAACUUUCCCCCAUAUCAAACACUGUUUCAACUUAAUCACAUUUCAUACAAAAGCCAGAGCACCAUCAUCCAUGUUGUUUCUCAAGCCAGUUGAAUCACAUCUUUCCGAGUCCUGACCUCCAAAGACGGAGCCUUUCCAGCUGCGACCAGUGAAGAGGAGCAUGGGAUCAAAGGUGAAUCUGGUGGUGCCAUCAGGCAUUAAUCCAGCACCUGUAGCAAGGCUGUUUGAAAGAUGACCAGAAAUAAAG